AGAUGUAAGGGUGAUCUGGCUGUGACAUCUGUCACCCCAUUGAUCUCCAGGAUGGGUACAGCUGAUCUGUCUGGCUAGGCAGGUGUCCCCUUCCUCCCUCACUGCUUCAUGUGUCUCUCUCCCAAAGCUGCAUUAGAUGAUCUUCCCCAGUAGAGGAGGACUGUUCUUUGCUCAAAGAUACACAAGUAUCUGUGCUCCCCGGCUAGAAUCUGCAAACCAGCUCUCAAGGUGAAGGUCUUGCUGUGCGCUACACGGUGAGCAUAGAUGACGGCACACAGCCAUCAGCCCUGUUAU
rnacentral:snRNA from 1 species